rnacentral:rRNA from 1 species
AGAGUUUGAUCAUGGCUCAGAUUGAACGCUGGCGGCAGGCCUAACACAUGCAAGUCGAGCGGUAGCACAGAGAGCUUGCUCUCGGGUGACGAGCGGCGGACGGGUGAGUAAUGUCUGGGAAACUGCCUGAUGGAGGGGGAUAACUACUGGAAACGGUAGCUAAUACCGCAUAAUGUCGCAAGACCAAAGUGGGGGACCUUCGGGCCUCAUGCCAUCAGAUGUGCCCAGAUGGGAUUAGCUAGUAGGUGGGGUAACGGCUCACCUAGGCGACGAUCCCUAGCUGGUCUGAGAGGAUGACCAGCCACACUGGAACUGAGACACGGUCCAGACUCCUACGGGAGGCAGCAGUGGGGAAUAUUGCACAAUGGGCGCAAGCCUGAUGCAGCCAUGCCGCGUGUGUGAAGAAGGCCUUCGGGUUGUAAAGCACUUUCAGCGGGGAGGAAGGCGGUAAGGUUAAUAACCUCACCGAUUGACGUUACCCGCAGAAGAAGCACCGGCUAACUCCGUGCCAGCAGCCGCGGUAAUACGGAGGGUGCAAGCGUUAAUCGGAAUUACUGGGCGUAAAGCGCACGCAGGCGGUCUGUCAAGUCGGAUGUGAAAUCCCCGGGCUCAACCUGGGAACUGCAUUCGAAACUGGCAGGCUAGAGUCUUGUAGAGGGGGGUAGAAUUCCAGGUGUAGCGGUGAAAUGCGUAGAGAUCUGGAGGAAUACCGGUGGCGAAGGCGGCCCCCUGGACAAAGACUGACGCUCAGGUGCGAAAGCGUGGGGAGCAAACAGGAUUAGAUACCCUGGUAGUCCACGCCGUAAACGAUGUCGAUUUGGAGGUUGUGCCCUUGAGGCGUGGCUUCCGGAGCUAACGCGUUAAAUCGACCGCCUGGGGAGUACGGCCGCAAGGUUAAAACUCAAAUGAAUUGACGGGGGCCCGCACAAGCGGUGGAGCAUGUGGUUUAAUUCGAUGCAACGCGAAGAACCUUACCUGGUCUUGACAUCCACAGAACUUUCCAGAGAUGGAUUGGUGCCUUCGGGAACUGUGAGACAGGUGCUGCAUGGCUGUCGUCAGCUCGUGUUGUGAAAUGUUGGGUUAAGUCCCGCAACGAGCGCAACCCUUAUCCUUUGUUGCCAGCGGUCCGGCCGGGAACUCAAAGGAGACUGCCAGUGAUAAACUGGAGGAAGGUGGGGAUGACGUCAAGUCAUCAUGGCCCUUACGACCAGGGCUACACACGUGCUACAAUGGCAUAUACAAAGAGAAGCGACCUCGCGAGAGCAAGCGGACCUCAUAAAGUAUGUCGUAGUCCGGAUUGGAGUCUGCAACUCGACUCCAUGAAGUCGGAAUCGCUAGUAAUCGUAGAUCAGAAUGCUACGGUGAAUACGUUCCCGGGCCUUGUACACACCGCCCGUCACACCAUGGGAGUGGGUUGCAAAAGAAGUAGGUAGCUUAACCUUCGGGAGGGCGCUUACCACUUUGUGAUUCAUGACUGGGGUGAAGUCGUAACAAGGUAACCGUAGGGGAACCUGCGGUUGGAUCACCU